CGUGUCUUUUGGGUUGAU
rnacentral:miRNA from 1 species